AGCUACGGCCACACCGCCUGGUUCACGCCCGAUCUCGUUUUAUCUCGGAAGCUAAGAUAGGGUGGGCCUGGUUAGUACUUGGAUGGGAGACCGCCUGGGAAUACCAGGUGCUGUAAGAU
ensembl:rRNA 5S_rRNA 5S ribosomal RNA